UAGGGAAUCUUCCGCAAUGGACGCAAGUCUGACGGAGCAACGCCGCGUGAGUGAAGAAGGAUUUCGGUUCGUAAAACUCUGUUGUUAGAGAAGAACAGCGCAUAGAGUAACUGUUAUGCGUGUGACGGUAUCUAACCAGAAAGCCACGGCUAACUACGUACCAGCAGCCGCGGUAAUACGUAGGUGGCAAGCGUUGUCCGGAUUUAUUGGGCGUAAAGCGAGCGCAGGCGGUCAAUUAAGUCUGAUGUGAAAGCCCCCGGCUCAACCGGGGAGGGUCAUUGGAAACUGGUUGACUUGAGUGCAGAAGAGGAAAGUGGAAUUCCAUGUGUAGCGGUGAAAUGCGCAGAGAUAUGGAGGAACACCAGUGGCGAAGGCGACUUUCUGGUCUGUAACUGACGCUGAUGUGCGAAAGCGUGGGGAUCAAACAGG
rnacentral:rRNA from 1 species